rnacentral:tRNA from 2 species
AGCGUUUUAUCUCAAUCGGUAGAGAGUUGUGCUACGGACACAACAGUUGUAAGUUCGAGUCUUAUAUUCGCUU